UUGAAAAGAGCUUGAAAUAAGUUUUUUGGACAUAAAUCAUCUGCUAUAUUAGGCUCUUCAAAAGAAAGAGGAAAGACUAGAUCGAUGAUUUUGGUACAUUUCCUUAAAUAUGGAUUUGUUUGAACCGUCCUUCGAGUGCACCGGUCCUCAUUUGGAAAAGGCAAAGCAAUACGUUGGCUUCUACAGAGCAGAAAUGUGAUGAAGAGCAAAAAAGGGAAAUGCCAUGUCAUUUUCAAGGGCGGAAAGGCACUCUUCGAGUGAUAUGGACUUGACGUUAGAUUUUGUUUCUUCAUCGGAAAAGUAUGGAAUCAAGGCACUAAGUCAUCUGAAAGCAGCGCGUUGACGCAGGCCUCUGACGCAUCGCAUAUGGCACCCAGGUCAUGUCCCCCUUCCAGUGCCAGGACCACACGUCCCCGGGCCACUUGCAUCAGCUGCCGGGUCAGAUGACUGAAACCUACGGAGGAAAGGC